rnacentral:rRNA from 1 species
CUGCCCUAGAGUGGGGGACAACAGUUGGAAACGACUGCUAAUACCGCAUAAGCCCACGGUGCCGCAUGACACUGAGGGAAAAGGAUUUAUUCGCUUUAGGAUGGACUCGCGUCCAAUUAGCUAGUUGGUGAGGUAACGGCCCACCAAGGCGACGAUUGGUAGCCGGACUGAGAGGUUGAACGGCCACAUUGGGACUGAGACACGGCCCAGACUCCUACGGGAGGCAGCAGUGGGGGAUAUUGCACAAUGGGGGAAACCCUGAUGCAGCGACGCCGCGUGGAGGAAGAAGGUUUUCGGAUUGUAAACUCCUGUCGUUAGGGACGAUAAUGACGGUACCUAACAAGAAAGCACCGGCUAACUACGUGCCAGCAGCCGCGGUAAAACGUAGGGUGCAAGCGUUGUCCGGAAUUACUGGGUGUAAAGGGAGCGCAGGCGGGAAGACAAGUUGGAAGUGAAAACCAUGGGCUCAACCCAUGAAUUGCUUUCAAAACUGUUUUUCUUGAGUAGUGCAGAGGUAGAUGGAAUUCCCGGUGUAGCGGUGGAAUGCGUAGAUAUCGGGAGGAACACCAGUGGCGAAGGCGGUCUACUGGGCACCAACUGACGCUGAGGCUCGAAAGCAUGGGUAGCAAACAGGAUUAGAUACCCUGGUAGUCCAUGCCGUAAACGAUGAUUACUAGGUGUUGGGGGAUUGACCCCCUCAGUGCCGCAGUUAACACAAUAAGUAAUCCACCUGGGGA